ACCGGAUUAGCCACUUCCUGAUCCUGGAGCAAGUCAGUUUUGAGUAUAAAAAGAGCUGCCCGUUGAAAACUACUUGUUUGGGACAAACCAGCACUGGCCGCCGUAUUAUACUUCAGGCUCAGAUCGUGUGCCACCAUCCCAAACCUCACUGUGUAGCAGAGCAACUACAAUGACCGUCUAUGAUUCAUAUUUAGGAUUGGGCACUGUUCUGCUUUUCAUCACGUACACUACAGCUAAAACAAUGCACUUGAAUAUGAGCUUUGAAGGUGACACAAAAGUGGAGAUGGUAAAGGAAUCAGUUAACGUCGGAGAUACUGUAGUGCUCAUGUGCAUCACUGAUGCAAUUCCGAUUUGGAAAAUCAACAGUAACUACUACUAUUGGAGGGAUGUUCCUGACAACCAUUUGUUUGACUUCAAAAACAAUACUUUAACAAUUUCGAUAGAACAAAGUCUAGCUGCAGCAUUGUCAGGCUGCGACAAUAUAAUAUUAUAUCAGUGUAUUUAUGGCAUAUUCCAAAGCAAAAAAGUGCCACUAAGGAUGCCAGAUCCUGUGCCACCAUCGCAAACCUCGCUGUGCAGCAUAGCAACUAAAAUGACCGUCUUUGAUUCCCAAUACCUGAUUUUACUGACAAUAAUAGAAAUUAUAUUUCAUAUAGUAUAACAAGCAAAAAAAAAUGUAGCCAUAAUUAUUAGAGUUUAUAGUCAUGUAUCUGUUUAUUAUAAUAAAAAUUUAUUCAUAUUAAA